GGAAGUAAAAGUCGUAACAAGGUCUCCGUUGGUGAACCAGCGGAGGGAUCAUUGCUGGAACGCGCCCCAGGCGCACCCAGAAACCCUUUGUGAACUUAUACCUUUUGUUGCCUCGGCGCAUGCUGGCCUCUAGUAGGCCCCUCACCCCGGUGAGGAGAAGGCACGCCGGCGGCCAAGUUAACUCUUGUUUUUACACUGAAACUCUGAGAAAAAACACAAAUGAAUCAAAACUUUCAACAACGGAUCUCUUGGUUCUGGCAUCGAUGAAGAACGCAGCGAAAUGCGAUAAGUAAUGUGAAUUGCAGAAUUCAGUGAAUCAUCGAAUCUUUGAACGCACAUUGCGCCCUCUGGUAUUCCGGAGGGCAUGCCUGUUCGAGCGUCAUUUCAACCCUCAAGCAUUGCUUGGUGUUGGGGCACUGCUUCUAACGAAGCAGGCCCUGAAAUCUAGUGGCGAGCUCGCCAGGACCCCGAGCGUAGUAGUUAAACCCUCGCUCUGGAAGGCCCUGGCGGUGCCCUGCCGUUAAACCCCCAACUUUUGAAAAUU
rnacentral:rRNA from 1 species